rnacentral:rRNA from 1 species
AGUGAACGCUGGCGGUAGGCCUAACACAUGCAAGUCGAACGGCAGCACAGUAAGAGCUUGCUCUUACGGGUGGCGAGUGGCGGACGGGUGAGGAAUACAUCGGAAUCUACUUUUUCGUGGGGGAUAACGUAGGGAAACUUACGCUAAUAUCGCAUACGCCCUACGGGUGAAAGCAGGGGAUCUUCGGACCUUGCGCGGAUGAAUGAGCCGAUGUCGGAUUAGCUAGUUGGCGGGGUAAAGGCCCACCAAGGCGACGAUCCGUAGCUGGUCUGAGAGGAUGAUCAGCCACACGAGAACUGAGACACGGUCCAGACUCCUACGGGAGGCAGCAGUGGGGAAUAUUGGACAAUGGGCGCAAGCCUGAUCCAGCCAUACCGCGUGUGUGAAGAAGGCCUUCGGGUUGUAAAGCCCUUUUGUUGGGAAAGAAAAGCAGCAGGUUAAUACCCCGCUGUUCUGACGGUACCCAAAGAAUAAGCACCGGCUAACUUCGUG